rnacentral:rRNA from 1 species
UACGUAGGUGGCAAGCGUUGUCCGGAUUUACUGGGCGUAAAGAGCGCGCAGGCGGUUGUGCAAGUCGCGUGUGAAAGCCCCCGGCUCAACUGGGGAGGGUCACGCGGUACUGUUCGACUUGAAGGCAGGAGAGGGAAGUGGAAUUCCCGGUGUAGUGGUGAAAUGCGUAGAUAUCGGGAGGAACACCAGUGGCGAAGGCGACUUCCUGGCCUGUUCUUGACGCUGAGGCGCGAAAGCUAAGGGUAGCAAACGGGGAUUAAGAUGACCCCAG